rnacentral:rRNA from 1 species
AUCUCAAAUCAAGUAAGACUACCCGCUGAACUUAAGCAUAUCAAUAAGCGGAGGAAAAGAAACUAACAAGGAUUCCCCUAGUAACGGCGAGUGAAGCGGGAUGAGCUCAAAUUUAAAAUCUGGCUGGUUUACUAGUCCGAAUUGUAGUUUAAAGAAGCGUUUUCGGUGGCAGCCUGGGUAUAAAUCCUUUGGAACAGGGUAUCAUAGAGGGUGAGAAUCCCGUCUUUGACUCAGUGCAUGCUACUAUGUGAUACGUUUUCAAAGAGUCGAGUUGUUUGGGAAUGCAGCUCAAAAUGGGUGGUAAAUUUCAUCUAAGGCUAAAUAUUGGCGAGAGACCGAUAGCGAACAAGUACCGUGAGGGAAAGAUGAAAAGAACUUUGAAAAGAGAGUUAAACAGUGCGUGAAAUUGUUGAAAGGGAAACGCUUGACACCAGUCAUGCGAGCGGAAAAUCAGUCUUUUGCAGUGGGGAGUUGUGUGGGUUCGGACCGCAAGGCCGGCCUGUGCUGCAUCUCUGCUGUAAGUGAUGCACUUUUUCGUUUGCAGGCCAACAUCAGUUUCUUCUGCUGGACAAAACUCUUGAGAAGGUAGCAGCUUUGGCUGUGUUAUAGCUCUUGAGCGAUACAGUGGAGGGGACUGAGGUUUUCGCAGCGCGUGCUCUCGGGCAAGGCUGAUUGGGUGCUAUGGGAUCGUUCGGUGUACAAUGCAUGCAUUUUGCGCCGUGUCUUUUCUAUACUCGCUCAACUCGGCUNUCCGC